AGAGUUUGAUCCUGGCUCAGGAUGAACGCUGGCGGCGUGCUUAACACAUGCAAGUCGAACGAAGCACUCUUUUAGAUUUCCUUCGGGGAAGAAGAAAUUGUGACUGAGUGGCGGACGGGUGAGUAACGCGUGGGCAACCUGCCCCAUACAGGGGGAUAACAGCCGGAAACGGCUGCUAAAACCGCAUAAGCGCACAAGGGCCGCAUGGCCUGGUGUGAAAAACUCCGGUGGUAUGGGAUGGGCCCGCGUCUGAUUAGCUAGUUGGCGGGGGAGAGGCCCACCAAGGCGACGAUCAGUAGCCGACCUGAGAGGGUGGCCGGCCACAUUGGGACUGAGACACGGCCCAAACUCCUACGGGAGGCAGCAGUGGGGAAUAUUGCACAAUGGGGGAAACCCUGAUGCAGCGACGCCGCGUGAGCGAAGAAGUAUUUCGGUAUGUAAAGCUCUAUCAGCAGGGAAGAAAAAUGACGGUACCUGAGUAAGAAGCACCGGCUAAAUACGUGCCAGCAGCCGCGGUAAUACGUAUGGUGCAAGCGUUAUCCGGAUUUACUGGGUGUAAAGGGAGCGCAAGCGGUGCGGCAAGUCUGAUGUGAAAGCCCGGGGCUCAACCCCGGGACU
rnacentral:rRNA from 1 species